ACGGCCAUACAAUGCUGAAUAUACUGUUUCUCGUUAGAUCACCGAAGUCAAGCAUCAUUGGGCGCGGUCAGUACUUGGGUGGGUGACCACCUGGGAACACCGCGUGCCA
rnacentral:rRNA from 1 species